GACGAACGCUGGCGGCGUGCCUAAUACAUGCAAGUGGAACGCAUUUAUAACUACCGUAGCUUGCUACAACUGCUAUAAAUGAGUCGCGAACGGGUGAGUAACGCGUAGGUAACCUACCUUUAAGCGGGGGAUAACUAUUGGAAACGAUAGCUAAUACCGCAUAAAAGGAGCUAACCCAUGUUAGCUUUUUAAAAGGUGCAACAGCAUCACUUAAAGAUGGACCUGCGUUGUAUUAGCUAGUUGGUAAGGUAACGGCUUACCAAGGCUUCGAUACAUAGCCGACCUGAGAGGGUGAUCGGCCACACUGGGACUGAGACACGGCCCAGACUCCUACGGGAGGCAGCAGUAGGGAAUCUUCGGCAAUGGGGGGAACCCUGACCGAGCAACGCCGCGUGAGUGAAGAAGGUUUUCGGAUCGUAAAGCUCUGUUAUAAGCGAAGAACAGGAGUAAGAGUGGAAAAUUUACUCUAUGACGGUAGCUUAUCAGAAAGGGACGGCUAACU
rnacentral:rRNA from 1 species